AUCAAUAGUUGAAUGUCCUGGACAUUUAGGGAACAUUCGGUGAACAUCUGAUUAAAUUAUUCGUGGAAUGUUACCAUAAGACAUUCUGUGAACAUACUACCAAUGUUCCUGUUCAUUUUCAAAUUCACGGCGCAUGUAUUUGUGCAUGGUGCUUAGAGAGGGCAUCACGUGACUAAAAACGACCAAUGACCUCACUUCAGACUUCGGUUCGGCCAUCUUGACAUGCAUCUUGCCUUGGCCACCUUGCCGUGCGUGAUCGUUGUUUGUUUUUAUUUGUGCUUUUUAAGAAUAUUUUUUAAUUCGGAUACUUUUAUAAUAACUUUAAUAGUAUUAUUAAUAUAGUGCAUAAAAUCAGUUGGAGUAGCAGAAGCAAUGUAGAUAAAAAAUCUGCAGGAAUAAUGUUUCAAAGGUUAGUAUAUUAUGCAAAUAUGUAAACAAAGGCAUGCCCCUAUUUCAGAAAAUAUCCAUUUAUUAUUUUAAUAAUUGCGAAUAAGCCACAAACUUGCUUAUUCCUAAUUAAAAUAGUAAAUAGAGAUAAUAACAAACGGAUUAUUUGUAAAAUUAAAUUUUUUUUUGCGUUUUUGCUAAUGUAUGCGUUUAUAAACAGGAUGGUAGACCACACACUAUAAUAGUACCAACUAAUGAAUACACAGUAUGAAUAGUACAGUCGGUUCGCUAAACUUAGUCUCAGACACAACUGGCUAGUGAUUUUAGUAAAUAAUUUUGACAAUUUGGUAAAAUUGGCAAAAAAAUAACUAAAUAGUUAGUAAUUUUGGCAAAAAUGGCCAAAAACAAAAAAAUUACCUACUAAAAUCACUAGCCAGUUGUGGCUAGGGAAACGACUAUACUAAUAAACAAUUUCUAAGCUGCUUUUUAUAAUAUUUUCUUUCCAGAAGAUCCUGCGAAGAAGGCAUGAAGUAUUGAUCAGAUUUGUUAAUAGAGCAGUAUGUUCAAAACAUUUUUUAGAAAAAGAUAUUGACAGAACUUCACUUUCAACCGUUUGAGAGACUGUGCUGUUCCAAUAGCUUAUAUCACACAGAAUCAGCUGAGAGAAGUGGUCUACAAAAAACCAGGAAGGAAAUGGAAUAUGUGGCUAUGAAAGGCAAAAGAAAGGUUUACAAAGCAAAUGUGACACAUUUUUUUAUAGGAAUAUCAGUAAAUUACAUUAAAAAAAUGUAUGAAAAGAUUUUUUGCAAUAAAAAUGUUUAUAUUUAUCAAGCAUGCAUUAUUUGGUAUGGCCACAUAUCGUCGGUGAUGUGACAAUACCUCCUAUCUGUUUUUUCAUGAGAUUUGUAAGAUAGACUAAAAACUUGUUUGGGCCACCUCCUGUUUUCAUAUAUUUUUUGACUUGUUUUGCAGUAAAUUUAACUAUCUAUUUACUACAAAACAAGCCAGAACUUACGUAUGCAAACAGGAGGUGACCUUAAAAAAUGUUUUUCGUCUCCUGCAAACCUCAUGAAAAAA